UGCGAAUGGCUCAUUAUAUAAGUUAUCGUUUAUUUGAUAGUACCUUACUACUUGGAUAACCGUGGUAAUUCUAGAGCUAAUACAUGCUAAAAAUCCCGACUUCGGAAGGGAUGUAUUUAUUAGAUUAAAAACCAAUGCCCUUCGGGGCUCCUUGGUGAUUCAUGAUAACUUCGCGAAUCGCAUGGCCUUGCGCCGGCGAUGGUUCAUUCAAAUUUCUUCCCUAUCAACUUUCGAUGUUUGGGUAUUGGCCAAACAUGGUUGCAACGGGUAACGGAGGGUUAGGGCUCGACCCCGGAGAAGGAGCCUGAGAAACGGCUACUACAUCCAAGGAAGGCAGCAGGCGCGCAAAUUACCCAAUCCCGACACGGGGAGGUAGUGACAAUAAAUACUGAUACAGGGCUCUUUAGGGUCUUGUAAUUGGAAUGAGUACAAUUUAAAUCCCUUAACGAGGAACAAUUGGAGGGCAAGUCUGGUGCCAGCAGCCGCGGUAAUUCCAGCUCCAAUAGCGUAUAUUAAAGUUGUUGUGGUUAAAAAGCUCGUAGUUGAACCUUGGGCCUGGCUGGCCGGUCCGCCUCACCGCGUGCACUGGUCCGGCCGGGCCUUUCCCUCUGUGGAACCCCAUGCCCUUCACUGGGCGUGGCGGGGAAACAGGACUUUUACUUUGAAAAAAUUAGAGUGCUCCAGGCAGGCCUAUGCUCGAAUACAUUAGCAUGGAAUAAUAAAAUAGGACGUGCGGUUCUAUUUUGUUGGUUUCUAGGACCGCCGUAAUGAUUAAUAGGGACAGUCGGGGGCAUCAGUAUUCAAUUGUCAGAGGUGAAAUUCUUGGAUUUAUUGAAGACUAACUACUGCGAAAGCAUUUGCCAAGGAUGUUUUCAUUAAUCAGGAACGAAAGUUAGGGGAUCGAAGACGAUCAGAUACCGUCGUAGUCUUAACCGUAAACGAUGCCGACUAGGGAUCGGACGGUGUUAUUACUUGACCCGUUCGGCACCUUACGAGAAAUCAAAGUGCUUGGGCUCCA
rnacentral:rRNA from 1 species